CAGAGGGAGCACGGUCCUGCUGACACCUUGAUUUCUGAUGCAUAGCCUCUAGAACUGUGGCAGAAUAAAUGUCUGUUGUUUUAAGCUACUGAGCUUGUGAUAGAAUAGUCCCCUCUUACCCAAGGUUUUGCUUUCUGAGGGUUCAGUUCUGUAGUCAACUUGGAAAAUUCCAGGAAUAAACACUUCAAAAGUUUUAAAUUGCACACCAUUCUGAGGAGCAUGAUGAAAUCUUGUGCUGUCCUGCCCCGGACAUGGAACAUCCCUUUGUCAUUGACGUCGUCUGCUCCUGACAUUCAACCGUGGACAUCAUCAUGGCUUGAGGAUCCAGAAUCAACUGAGGCAGAUGAUCCUCCCUUCCGACAUCAUCAGAAACUCAGGAGUGGCCCGAUGCUAUGUCACAAUGCCUGGAUCAUUCACCUCCAUUCACAUCAUGUAGGCAUUGCAUCAUCUCCCAUCAUCACAAGAAGAGGGAGACCCAGGUAAUUUUAGAGUCACUCUGGAGGGAAGAUUCGUAUCUUGAAAAAUUCUUCCAGGUGAUUUGGACAUACCUUUCUGCCUCCCAGCCACCCCCCCCCGCCAUGGCUCAUAGCCACGUCUCCGGGAUUCCUCAGCUCUAUUUCUGGAUUUGGUCAGAAAACAGCCUGCUCUGCUGGAUUAGCUCAUCUCUCCAUGGAAAUGCCACCCUGGAGUUAUGAGAGCACGGCCUCUUUCUAAGGCUUUCUGGUGCAAUGCAACCCUCCUCGAUGGCCACAGCUGAUUGACUGGAGUGAACCUGUGACCUGAACUGGGCCAGUCAGAUUUUUCAUACUGGAAAUUUGGCGUCGGAGCCCUGAGAAACAAGUCAGGUGGUCUCGGGGGCUGAAGCUACCCCUGUGGGGUGACUAGUGGAACUCCUGGUAGUGAGAAAAAGUGAGAUGAGACUGAUGAUCUUCAGAAGGAAAAGUUUGGACUAAACACCCAGAGGAAAGCUGAAAUGAGAGACCACAUGGAAUGAAGGAGAACGUGAGUAUGAGCAAGCGAAGGCACCAAAAUGUACAGGAGUUUCUCCCAACCCCAAACCAGUUCUUCAGCAGACAUCAGCUGGGCAUCCUCCAAUUUAAUUCAAUUCUGACACUACCUACCUGGAGACAGUAUCAGAUCCCACAGAUUGAGGGCUCCAUCCCACAAGACUGCCCUCUACUCCAGAUGCCAGUUGUAAGUCCCGAGUUGAGACCUGUGCUGCUGACCAACAGGCUAUAAAUUGGGCAUUCCCAAGACCCCCUUAGGGGUUGAUUUGCUAUGGCAGAUCACAGAACUCAGGGAAACUCUUUACUUAUGUUUACCCUUCUAGUAUAAAGGAUAUUACAAAGGAUAUAGAUUAAUGGCAAGAUGAAGAGGUAUAUAGGGCAAGGUAAGGGGGGAGGGGCAGAGCUUCUGUGCCCUUUCUCAGAACCUUCACACUUUCAGCAACCUACGAGCUCUCUAAAUCCUGUUUCUUUUUUUUUUGUUUGUUUUUUUGUGUUUUUUUUAUGGAGGCUUCAUUACACAUGCAUGAUUGACUAAACCAUUGAACGUUGGUGAGCAAUUUGACCUUCAGCCUGUCUCCUCCCUGGAGCCACCUCCAGGGUUGGGGUUGAACGUUUCAAACUUCUCAUGAUGUGGUUGGUUUCCUGGACAGCUAGCCCCACCCUGAGGCUACCCAGGAGCCUCCAGCCACCAGUCAUCUCAUUAGCAUACAAAAAGACCAUCACUUUGGAGACUCCAAGAGUCUUAGGAGCUGUGUUUCAAGAAAAGGAGAAAGCCAAUCACUGAGACAAGUAUUGCCAGGGAAGAAGGCUUUUUUGGGUGCUACAGCUGAGGAGCUGGGAGGUCAAAACAGUGUGGGAAAAGAAAUUUAAAAAAAUGUUAUUAAAGAAGCUACUGUCAACCUAAAGGAAGAAACUGAGGCAAAAUUAAUGAACACUACUCCCCAAAUAGGUUCUGCCCAUGGGAUGUGGAGAUGAUGAAUUUUCUAACCUCAGUGUUGCUGACACUUAGAUCCAUGCGCUUCUGGAAAGACUCAUUUCUAAGCCAUCACGGCUGAUUGAAUGAUUGUAUCCCCCAGGUGUUUAAUAAUGGAUCCAUGUCAAUCCUAAAAGAAGUAUCUGGUGGACUGCAAUAAGGUUCUGCCUGUGAUCGUCUUCAUUUUAUCAUCCACUCAUGAAGAUGUGAAAGCCAGACUUCAGACAGACAAUUAGAGGGCAUUAGUAAUGCAUAUUGGAUGAGAAGUUGUGACACAAAAUUUUAAUAGGCUGCAAAGAUGUGCUAAAAUUCACUAGGUAUAAAUGAUGUCAUAGGUUCAGGGAGAUACUGAGACAAGUGUGAACAGAAUACAUGAGAUUACACUGAAGUUCAAUUAACUGCUAGUCAAAAACUAAAAACUAAAACAAUGUAUUCUGUAGUGAACACUUGCAGAUCUGUGUGCUUAGUUCACCUUUUCUAGAAGUUGCCCCUUCCCUUGUCCAGAUGGUUGCAAAAAAGCACUGACGUCACAACAUGACCUGGUUCCUGGCCACAGUUGAUAGGUCCAGAAACUGAUACUCAACUUAAGAAUAAGGAUCUGUUCUGUUUAUUUUAAAAUCAGAACCAAGAAUGGUAAGCUGGACUGUCUUCGAAAGCCUGGACUCUAAGAAGUAAAGCUUUGGAUUUAUAGGCAGCCAUGUCCCCCACCACUGGGGUGGCAGAGGAAUCUAGUCUUUGGAGAGAGGGGUGGACAUGAGAGAUGGAAAGAGACUCCUGUCUACAUGUUCCUAUGGCUCAGUUGCAUUUCUCUUCCUUGAGUAUCACUGUAUUCUAAUAACCUAAUAGAUCCUCAUAUCUUCCCUUUCAACUCAAGCUAACUAAGUGUCUCAUAUUUGCAAAGCAAAAUGUUCCAAGUACAUGACUUAAGCUCCAGCUACAGUGCCCUGAAUAAGGGUGGGAUAAUCAUAAUAGUAAAUUUCCAAGUGGCCAAGUCUUAACUUUGCCUUGGCCACACUAAUGUGGUCCAUGUGGUCAUUUCCAGGCUCAACUUUCUGAAGAUGAUGGUCAAGAGACAGAAGUCUCUGAGGAAGAGGAGGUAGCUGUUUAGAAAUGUUUAAAGGGUUGCCAUGUAUAAGUCAAAGUAGGUGUUCUAUGUUGCUCCAACAGACAAAAAUGAUACCAAUAGUCAAAAGUUGGAAUGCAGAUUUUGACUGGACACAACAAUUGUUUUUGUAAGUAUUAGACUUAUCCAAUAAAGGAAUGGAUGACCUAGUGAAGGAUCAAGGUCUCUGUCAAUGGAAGGUUGGGUCAGAACUUAGAUAUACAUUUAUUUGGGAGUUUGAUGAAUAGAUGGCUAUUAAUAGCUGUCAUUUAUCAAAGGCUUUUUAUGUGUGAAACACUGUGCUUGACAUAUGCUUUAUGUAAAUUUACACAUCUUCAUAAUAAUCAUAUGAAUAGAUAUACCUUAUACAUUUAAUAAUAGUUAUCAAAUAUUUAUAAGAACAAUAUUUUGGUAAUUUUAAACGUAAAA
rnacentral:lncRNA from 1 species